rnacentral:rRNA from 1 species
AACUUUCAACAACGGAUCUCUUGGUUCUGGCAUCGANGAAGAACGCAGCGAAACGCGAUAAGUAACGUGAAUUGCCGAAUUCAGUGAAUCCUCGAAUCUUUGAACGCCCAUUGCGCCCGUUAGCCUUNUAGUGGGCAUGCAAUGUUCGAGCGUCUAUUU